rnacentral:misc_RNA from 1 species
AAUUCUCAACCUUACUAGCUUUUGCAAAGUAAGGCUUGGAUGUGAGGGUUUUUGCUGGCUUUGCAGUCGGCUCCCUUGAAAUAUAUUAGCGGUGCCCUGCUGACCAUCAGUGUGAUAAUAUCUACGCUGUUGGAAGGACUAGGAUUUUGUGCUGCUUCUAACCGUCCGAUCUCGGACAAUACAUGACAA